UGGCGGACGGGUGAGUAACACGUGGGUGAUCUGCCCUGCACUUUGGGAUAAGCCUGGGAAACUGGGUCUAAUACCGAAUAGGACCGCGCUCUUCAUGGGGUGUGGUGGAAAGCUUUUGCGGUGUGGGAUGGGCCCGCGGCCUAUCAGCUUGUUGGUGGGGUAAUGGCCUACCAAGGCGACGACGGGUAGCCGGCCUGAGAGGGUGACCGGCCACACUGGGACUGAGAUACGGCCCAGACUCCUACGGGAGGCAGCAGUGGGGAAUAUUGCACAAUGGGCGCAAGCCUGAUGCAGCGACGCCGCGUGAGGGAUGACGGCCUUCGGGUUGUAAACCUCUUUCAAUAGGGACGAAGCGCAAGUGACGGUACCUAUAGAAGAAGGACCGGCCAACUACGUGCCAGCAGCCGCGGUAAU
rnacentral:rRNA from 1 species